GACGAACGCUGGCGGCGUGCUUAACACAUGCAAGUCGAACGGAAAGGCCCUGCUUUUGUGGGGUGCUCGAGUGGCGAACGGGUGAGUAACACGUGAGUAACCUGCCCUUGACUUUGGUAUAACUUCAGGAAACUGGGGCUAAUACCGGAUAGGAGCUCCUGCUGCAUGGUGGGGGUUGGAAAGUUUCGGCGGUUGGGGAUGGACUCGCGGCUUAUCAGCUUGUUGGUGGGGUAGUGGCUUACCAAGGCUUUGACGGGUAGCCGGCCUGAGAGGGUGACCGGCCACAUUGGGACUGAGAUACGGACCAGACUCCUACGGGAGGCAGCAGUGGGGAAUAUUGCACAAUGGGCGGAAGCCUGAUGCAGCAACGCCGCGUGCGGGAUGACGGCCUUCGGGUUGUAAACCGCUUUCGCCUGUGACGAAGCGUGAGUGACGGUAAUGGGUAAAGAAGCACCGGCUAACUACGUG
rnacentral:rRNA from 1 species